rnacentral:rRNA from 1 species
UACGAAGGGGGCUAGCGUUGCUCGGAAUUACUGGGCGUAAAGCGCACGUAGGCGGUCUUUUAAGUCGGGGGUGAAAUCCUGGAGCUCAACUCCAGAACUGCCUUCGAUACUGAGAGACUUGAGUCCGGGAGAGGUGAGUGGAACUGCGAGUGUAGAGGUGAAAUUCGUAGAUAUUCGCAAGAACACCAGUGGCGAAGGCGGCUCACUGGCCCGGUACUGACGCUGAGGCGCGACAGCGUGGGGAGCAAACAGG